GGAAGAAAGACUUAUAUGGUUGCUUCCUCAAAAAAGCCAUAGAUAAGGAGCAUAAAAAAGAAAGACGUGUAACCCUCAUCGUUGAGAGUGAAUAUCAAGGGCUCAGAUCCCUUGUUGAGAAGGAAGACACGAUUGUUGCUUCUUGGGAGCCAUUGAUGAGGAACACUAUUGAAAGAAGAAGAUUGAAGGAGAAUGAGGCAAG
rnacentral:lncRNA from 1 species